rnacentral:rRNA from 1 species
CCAAUGGCGUAUAUUAAAGUUGUUGCAGUUAAAAAGCUCGUAGUUGAAUUUUGGAUUCUUCCAAUUGGUCCAUCUUUUAGAUGAGUACUGGUUGUGUGGGGUCUAUCCGCCUGGUGAUACGUAAUGUCCUUUAUUGGAUGUUGCGGGUAGUCAGGACCUUUACCUUGAAAAAAUUAGAGUGUUUAAAGCAGGCUUAUGCCGGAAUACAUUAGCAUGGAAUAAUAGAAUAGGACGAAGUUGUUUUAUUUUGUUGGUUUCUAGGACAACCGUAAUGAUUAAUAGGGAUAGUUGGGGGCAUUAGUAUUCAAUUGUCCGAGGUGAAAUUCUUGGAUUUAUUGAAGACUAACUACUGCGAAAGCAUUUGCCAAGGAUGUUUUCAUUAAUCAAGAACGAAAGUUAGGGGAUCGAAGACGAUCAGAUACCGUCGUAGUCUUAACCAUAAACUAUGCCGACUAGGGAUCGGGCGAUGUUGUUUCCAUGACUCGCUCGGCACCUUAUG